GACGAACGCGGCGGCGUGCCUAAUACAUGCAAGUAGAACGCUGAAGGAGGAGCUUGCUUCUCUGGAUGAGUUGCGAACGGGUGAGUAACGCGUAGGUAACCUGCCUGGUAGCGGGGGAUAACUAUUGGAAACGAUAGCUAAUACCGCAUAAGAGUAGAUGUUGCAUGACAUUUGCUUAAAAGGUGCAAUUGCAUCACUACCAGAUGGACCUGCGUUGUAUUAGCUAGUUGGUGGGGUAACGGCUCACCAAGGCGACGAUACAUAGCCGACCUGAGAGGGUGAUCGGCCACACUGGGACUGAGACACGGCCCAGACUCCUACGGGAGGCAGCAGUAGGGAAUCUUCGGCAAUGGACGGAAGUCUGACCGAGCAACGCCGCGUGAGUGAAGAAGGUUUUCGGAUCGUAAAGCUCUGUUGUAAGAGAAGAACGAGUGUGAGAGUGGAAAGUUCACACUGUGACGGAUCUAACCA
rnacentral:rRNA from 1 species